ACGAACGCUGGCGGCGUGCUUCACACAUGCAAGUCGAACGAAGAGCGAUGGAAGCUUGCUUCUAUCAAUCUUAGUGGCGAACGGGUGAGUAACGCGUAAUCAACCUGCCCUUCAGAGGGGGACAACAGUUGGAAACGACUGCUAAUACCGCAUACGAUCUAAUCUCGGCAUCGAGGAUAGAUGAAAGGUGGCCUCUACAUGUAAGCUAUCACUGAAGGAGGGGAUUGCGUCUGAUUAGCUAGUUGGAGGGGUAACGGCCCACCAAGGCGAUGAUCAGUAGCCGGUCUGAGAGGAUGAACGGCCACAUUGGGACUGAGACACGGCCCAGACUCCUACGGGAGGCAGCAGUGGGGAAUCUUCCGCAAUGGACGAAAGUCUGACGGAGCAACGCCGCGUGAGCGAUGACGGCCUUCGGGUUGUAAAGCUCUGUUAAUCGGGACGAAAGGCCUUCUUGCGAAUAGUGAGAAGGAUUGACGGUACCGGAAUAGAAAGCCACGGCUAACUACGUG
rnacentral:rRNA from 1 species